AGUGAACGCUGGCGGUAGGCCUAACACAUGCAAGUCGAACGGCAGCACAGUAAGAGCUUGCUCUUACGGGUGGCGAGUGGCGGACGGGUGAGGAAUACAUCGGAAUCUACUUUUUCGUGGGGGAUAACGUAGGGAAACUUACGCUAAUACCGCAUACUACCUACGGGUGAAAGCAGGGGAUCUUCGGACCUUGCGCGAUUGAAUGAGCCGAUGUCGGAUUAGCUAGUUGGCGGGGUAAAGGCCCACCAAGUCGACGAUCCGUAGCUGGUCUGAGAGGAUGAUCAGCCACACUGGAACUGAGACACGGUCCAGACUCCUACGGGAGGCAGCAGUAGGGAAUAUUGGACAAUGGGCGCAAGCCUGAUCCAGCCAUACCGCGUGGGUGAAGAAGGUCUUCGGGUUGUAAAGCCCUUUUGUUGGGAAAGAAAAGCAGCAGGUUAAUACCCCGCUGUUCUGACGGUACCCAAAGAAUAAGCACCGGCUAACUUCGUG
rnacentral:rRNA from 1 species